UAUUAAAAUUUUUAUCUGUUUCUAUUGUUAAAAAUUGGUGUGAUUGACAGAAAAACUAGAAAGUUUCACGUGUUUCUCAUGUUGACAUACAUAGAUUAAUUUUUAAUAAUAAAAAUAGAUGAAAUUUCAACA
rfam:Gossypium raimondii Chr08_contig_1206, whole genome shotgun sequence.